GGAAGGGGGUGUGUGUGUGCCGAGCGGCCGGGAGAGGCGGCCCCGCGGAGCCGGGUGGAGUUCAUUUCUUUUGUUCUUGGGAGCUGAGUAGGAGAAAGGGACAUUUCAGCUUUUCUUGAUAAAGAUUACACCAUCUUCUUAAACUGCGAGACGAGAAUAUUUCUUGAAAAUUAAGAGUUCUUCAG